rnacentral:rRNA from 1 species
CGAACGGGUGAGUAACGCGUAAUCAACCUGCCUCAGAGGGGGGACGAACAGUUGGAAACGACUGCUAAUACCGCAUAAGCCCACGGCUCGGCAUCGAGCAGAGGGAAAAGGAGCAAUCCGCUUUGAGAUGGCCUCGCGUCCGAUUAGCUAGUUGGUGAGGUAACGGCCCACCAAGGCGACGAUCGGUAGCCGGACUGGGAGGUUGAACGGCCACAUUGGGACUGAGACACGGCCCAG